rnacentral:rRNA from 1 species
AUUGAACGCUGGCGGCAUGCUUUACACAUGCAAGUCGGACGGCAGCACAGAGAAGCUUGCUUCUUGGGUGGCGAGUGGCGAACGGGUGAGUAACAUAUCGGAACGUACCGAGCAGUGGGGGAUAGCUAAUCGAAAGAUUAGCUAAUACCGCAUAUUUUCUGAGGAAGAAAGCAGGGGACCUUUGGGCCUUGCGCUGUUUGAGCGGCCGAUAUCUGAUUAGCUAGUUGGUGGGGUAAAGGCCUACCAAGGCGACGAUCAGUAGCGGGUCUGAGAGGAUGAUCCGCCACACUGGGACUGAGACACGGCCCAGACUCCUACGGGAGGCAGCAGUGGGGAAUUUUGGACAAUGGGCGCAAGCCUGAUCCAGCCAUGCCGCGUGUCUGAAGAAGGCCUUCGGGUUGUAAAGGACUUUUGUCAGGGAAGAAAAGGGCGGGGUUAAUACCCCUGUCUGAUGACGGUACCUGAAGAAUAAGCACCGGCUAACUACGUG